rnacentral:sRNA from 2 species
CCUAUAAUUGGAGCUUCAUUGGGGAGUAGCCUCUCUUCAGCCUGAAGAGGCUUGCGUCAACACACUUGUCCCGCAGGACAUGGCGCAAGCGGUUUCCGAGCUUGGCAAGACCUUUGAUCAUGAUGCCUCCGAUCUGGCCGGGGAUGCGUCGUGGUCAAUCGUCUCCGUACCGGCCUUGGAACAUU